GUGCUCACUUCGGCAGCACAUAUACUAAAAUUGGAACAAUACAGAAAAGAUUAGCAUGUCCCCUGCACAAGGAUAACACACAAAUUUGUGAAGUGUUCCAUAUUAAA
ensembl:snRNA U6 U6 spliceosomal RNA